GGUGGUUGUGGCGUUGAAUGACUUCCAGGAAGAGCGUGGGUCGGUCCUGCAUGGGCUUCGUGAAGAUCUGCAGGAGGUAGCCUUUCUCGUCGUAGUCCACUAGAAUUUUCAGCUCCUAGGUGGGAGACAGAAGACUAAGAAUGCAAGUCCCAUGAUGGCAGGGACCUGGCCUGAAUCCUGCCCCUCUUUGUCCCAGUGGCUGAUGAUGCCUUGGUCUUGAUAGAGGUUUAGACAACAUUUGUGAGAUAAGGUGGAACUCAGGGCUCGUCCUCCUCAGUUGAGCAAGGAUCCUGCUCUCGGCCUCACCUCCAGGACAUCAAUAUUCUCUUUCACCCGGAUCUUGGCCGACUUGAGCUUCUCCCUCAGUUGUUUGUAGUAUGUGGACGGAACAG